UGGGGAAUAUUGGGCAAUGGGCGAAAGCCUGACCCAGCGACGCCGCGUGGGUGAUGAAGGCCUUCGGGUUGUAAAGCCCUGUCAUGCGGAAAGAACGACCCUGAGACGCAUACUCUCAGGGAGUGACGGUACCGCAGGAGGAAGCACCGGCUAACUCCGUGCCAGCAGCCGCGGUAAUACGGAGGGUGCAAGCGUUGUUCGGAAUUAUUGGGCGUAAAGGGCGCGUAGGCGGUAAUGUAAGUCAGAUGUGAAAUACUCCGGCUCAACCAGAGAACAGCAUCUGAAACUGCAUAACUAGAGUACAAAAGAGGGAAACGGAUUUCCCGGUGUAGAGGUGAAAUUCGUAGAUAUCGGGAGGAACACCAGUGGCGAAGGCGGUUUCCUGGUCUGAUACUGACGCUGAGGCGCGAAAGCGUGGGGA
rnacentral:rRNA from 1 species